CAGGCUGGCCGGGAGCUGGAGCAGCUGCAGGCAGGAGAAGGGAGGGCUCCUGCUCAGCCCGGGCCGUGGGAAGGGGGUGCCAGCAGCCAGCGGUGACCGGCUCGGAAGGACCAGGAGUUUUCAGCUUGUGGGCGUUUUUAGAAGGCGAGAAUGGGAGGAGUGAAAUGAUCCACGUCCCCGUUGUCUGUAGGAGAAGGAGAUGUAUUCUGUGCAACUUCUAAACAGCCAUACACCAGGAGGAAGAAUUUACUCGGGAGCUGUUCCCAUGUGGUAGCUGUUAUUAAUGGAUUGAUUUUUCAGACAAUAGUACGGCUUCUUGCAGAAACCCAAACUCCAAGAACUUACUGUUUCAGCCAAAAGAAAUCUGUAAAAAAAUGUUUUCUUAAAAAAAAAAAAUUGUUUAUUUUUUAAAUGUGGAAAAUAGAUUUUUUUUUUUUUCCUUCAAAGUAAAGCCCAAAAAACACCCUUUGGCUCAGCUGUCAAAUCUCUGAAGACUGAAAGUUCAGGAAACCUUCCUUUGGACCCAGCUCCCUUCACUGCUGUCUGCCUUUAAGGGAAGCCACCUCAGGCACAAGGACUUUGUGCAUGGAGGCUAAUGAAGUACAGGAAGCCCUGCUCCCCUGGAGUCUUCAGGGACAUAAUACUGUCUUCCCCUGGCAGUCAUACAUCAUGGGACAGCUUCCCAGAAAUCACAAGCAGAUUAAACAUUACAGGAUCUUUUCCCUUGCAAUGGCACAGGUAUGCUUGCCUCUCUAAUGGUUUCAGAAAGUAUAAAGCCAGAGAUCAUUUUAAUUUGCUCACUGAUAAUUUUGUGUAAUGUAUUCUAUUAACUAGACAUUAAUCACCAGCAGGCACCACCAGCAAGGAAAAAAGAUGCCAUCAAAGCUAAGAAUGCUUUAAAACUACUGUAGGAGGAAAAAAAGAGUAGAAAAUUAUUGUGAAAACAUUUUACCACACUGCAGAAAAAUGCAAAAGUUGUCCUUCCCUCUGUCUGCACUAAAUUACAAUGAAUCUGAACAGAGAGAAAAUGAUUUCCUGCAAUCAGAUCCAAUGGUCUCCAAACCCCUGAUAAUACAAACAAGGACUGUGUGAGUCAAUCAGCCAAAUACAGAGCAAGGGAGGUCUUGUUUUCAAUCAUAUCCACAAAUGGCAAACAGAGCUGUGUGUCAGAAUCUGCUCUUUUCCUAUUUACAAUCAGUCAAAUAGACUCUUCUUGCAUAUGUCUAAAUUGUUCAUGAGUUUAGAAACAGGUGGUGUAGAGGUCAGGAAGCUCAUGUGUGUUUUGGAGUUUCCUAUCCACCGAAAAUUAUUAGUUUUUCAAAUAAUUCAAGAUGUUGUCACAUUAAAUAAAAUUAUCCCAAUGAUGAUGCUA